UGGAACCCACAAAACCAAAUGCUGGGUCGUCGGGAGGCCGAUGAUGACAAAGUAUAAUUUCGUUCCUCUUUCUGUCUGGUCUCUACGAUCACUAUCCCCCGGAGAAGGCAAUGGAGGCCACAUCUCAAUUUGUUAAAGGAGAAGAAAAGAAUACCCAACAGAAGUUGAAUUGAAACUUUGACUAGCGGGUCCAUUUGUAUGGCACACGUGAUUAUGAACAAGCCAUCAAAAUUGGGUCUGCCAUCAGAAGCUGCAAUAUUAAUCCCAUCGUUGUAGCAUAUGUGGAUCCAACUGCUCUGUGUGGAGAAUAGCAACGGAGGUAUACUUUCUUUGUUGAUGACUAAGAGUCGCGAAAACAAGUUAUUUUACAUGCCAUUGCAAUGAAAACUCAAUUGCUGAAGUGUUAAUUGUUGAACAGGUGAUAUUGCAGUGGAGUUCAUUAUCAACCAUGCUGAAGUCUCAAUUGUAUUCGUUCAUGAGAACAACAUCAGGCUCUAUAUUCAUCCUUAUCAUUUAUUCCUAUCUACUUGAGUUUGAUCACCACAAGGUUUCUGUUUCUUCUCGCCAAAUUGGAAAAUAUUUAUGGAUAUUCUUUAUUCCUGAGAGAUAACCUAAACCAAGCUACUUAUGUCUUAACUCCUUGUUCUCAUGAAACGGUUUGAAAUUCGUGCAGCUCUCCAUGUGAUUAGUAACAAUAUUCUGGUUAGCUUUGAUUCAAUCCUUUUUGUUGGUGAAUUUUGAUUUCCAAACUAGUCUUGGUGAUAAUGAGAUUACAUAUACUUUGCUCUUCUCAAGUCCAACAUUGACACAGUAGGGAUGCAUACUUUAGAAGUGCUUGGGCAAGUAACAAGGGAUCUUCCUCAAAUUUACAAGGAAAGAUUAUCCUUGUCUUUGUUAAUAUAUUUAGGAAUGACACUUUUUAGAUGUAAUUUUUAUUUUACCUUUCAGAUCCAAGGGAUUUUGGUUGCAAAGUAAAGUAAAAUUUAAUAAUCAAAUUUGGAAUGAUUUGGAGUUAGUGAUACAACCAUGUUUGCUAAUGCUUACAAAAGUUUCUUUUUAGGUUUCAAAAUUUUCGCUUCCCUUCCCUUUAUUCCCUUGCAUUCAGAUGGAAAGGUGGGUUCUAUCAGUUUCCUUUGCACUAAGAAUAAUGUAGUAUAUAGAAUUGAGCUUCUCUUGUUACAUUUAUGUGUGUUAUGUUGCUUGCUACGUAAAAGAGCAGCAUAUACCUUAUGUAUUCAUUUGAUGUUUGUCCUCUCUCUCUCUUUCUCUCUCUCUCUCUCUCUCUCUCUCUCUCUCUAACACACACACACACACACACACAUACAUGCAGAGAUGCAACCACCAAGACUCGGACACAGAUGAGCACACACAAGUUAUCUGUUUCCUUGUUACGGUCUAGCUUCUAAGAUCCAAUGCAUUAUACAUUGAAGAGUAAAUUAUAGAUUAUAGUUAACUUAUUAUGUUUUUCCUCUAUCUAUGUUAUCGUUUGUUUUACUAAAAUUAGUUCUUUCAAUACUUGAAAAUUCAUGAUCUCAGAUGAAAUGAAAAAUAUUCACUAGGUGAUGGAGAGUAACUGUUUGUGCAUGCAAAGGAUCCUCCAAAACAAAAGGUGAAGGAAGAGAAAAAAAAAAAAAAAAAAGGAUGAGAAUGAGAAAAGAAAGAUGAGGGUAAAAGAUGGGAAGAGAGUAAGGGGCAAGAGGCACAGCCCAACAAGUCAGGAUAGUCAUAGCUAGGUGGGUUGGCUACAUAAAUCCUUGCCCUCCAAUAGGCUCUUUCCGAGGUCAUACUUGGGACAAGAACGAGACUAAGCAUGUCAUUCCUCACCACUUCGCCUAUGGUCAUUUUAGGUCUAUCCCUAGCUCUUUUAACUCCUUCAAUCUGAAUCCGAUCACUCCUCUUUAUUGGGGCAUCCUCAGGUUUCCAUUGAACAUGGCCAUACCACCUUAAUUGACUUUCACGGAGCUUGUCGUUGAUCGUGGCAACUCCCAAAUCUGCUCUAAUAUGCUCAUUCCUUAAUUUAUUUUUCCUGGUUUUGCUGUACAUUUAUCUUACAAUAAAGGGGUAAAAUAACUAACUCUGGACUUUUUAAUUACAAUAUGUUCUAUCUCUUAGAGUCCUUCGAACUGACACGGAUUCUCAGAUCCCAGAAGCAAAAAGUUUGUGUUUUUUCUGAAGUUUCAGUGUUCUCUGUUUAAUUAAAGUAGACAUUUACUAAUUACACUCUGUUCUCAAUAUUUUAAUUGAUUUUUGUGGUUUGUCUAGUAAAUUAAGGACAUGCACCUUUUUGUAAAUGAACAAAUCAUUAUUAUUAUCUUUCACAUGUACACAUCAGCAUGUAUAUCACAGUUUGCUCAUCUCAUGUAGGUCAUGGAAUUUUUUUCGAAAAUGAAACCUAUAAGAUAGGAUUCAUACACUGUUUGUUGAACUGGAAAUCCUAUAUUGGUGGUCAUUGGGGCUACAUCGUCAAUGGAUAGCAGCAUGUAAUUCCAAGCUAGGUAACAAGGACAUGGACAAAGGUGCUCCAUGUCCACCACAGCAUGUUCUACAUAAAUUGUGUAGGCUUUAUUCAUAAUUCAUGUCAGUGUCAGACACUGUAGAAAUUUUUAGGUCAAUUUAUUGUUAUAAAUAUUCCAGUUUAGUGUAUAGCCAUGCAUACCCCAGGAGCAAUCAUAUGCUGCGUUUGUCGAGAACUGAACAAUCCUACAUUCAACAAUUGUGCUGAACCUGCUUAUGGCUAGCUUCAGGGCUUAAAAGCAUCUCUUCCUUUCAGCAAAAAAUUAUUUAUGGGUGGGGAUUGGAUUGAUAUGGCCGACCCCAUGUAGUUGGGGUAAGGCUGAGUAGUUGUUCUUGCUGAGUGGAUUGAUAUACAAGAGUGGAGAAGAUAUUUUGUGGUUAUAUAAAAGUAAUAGAUUGACACUUUUGAUCUUGCAUUCUAGUAAGUUUUUUGGGUUCUUUCCUUCCCUUAGUGAAGCUCUCUCUUUCCCAAAUAGGGAAAUGCCUUCCCAGACUCCCAGUGAAUGACAAGUGAGGUUUUCUCUUUCUCAAGCAAAGAAAUGCCUGCUCUGUGAAUGACAAGUUACUACAACAAACCUUCAAUACUUGUUGUGGUUGUUUCGGUUUGAAAAUUUAGUUGUUCUUGAUAUAGUUAGACAUCACAUAAGAGUAGACUUACAACUGUAAUGGGAGUGAUCGCCUCCCUUUUUAAGGGGUAUUUAUGAGUUUGUUUUGGUCCAGCUGCUUUCAACAUGGGAAGUGGACGAGAUAAUGGCUGGUUAUGGUAUAUUUAAUUUUUGAUAUAGACUCAAUCGAUUAUCCAUCUGGUAACCAAGGGUUAGUUGCAUUGAUUGUGGCAGUUACCUCAUAUUAGCAGUAGCAGAAACCUAGAAUGAAAUUAAGUUAGAAUUCUUUCCACUUACGGUGACAGAAGAAGACAAACUUUUUUGUUCCUCCCACUGGCCCAUAUAUAUGAUCAGAUAUCGAAACUUGUUGCAUCUACAGGGUUUCUUUCAUAGGAUUUUGGUGAGGGGUAUGUUUUUUACUCACUUCCAGUUUGAUUUAACUCUUUCUGCUUUCUGUUUUUUGCAGCCGAUUUAGAGUCAAGACUUUUAAAUUUUAUAUAUUCUUGUAUUUCAUUUAUAGCAUGUUAGGUACUUGUUUGAAGACAUUCAAGAAUUGAAGCCAACAAUAUUCUAGGGGUACCUCAAAUCUUUGGCCAUCGAUACACAGGUUUGAAUCUUAUUAGUGAGCUUUACCUUGUUUGAUUUCUUUUGUUCUAAGAAUUGCCUCUGCAAUUCUCAUAUGAAGGUAUAAUUGAUAAUGUUUCAUUUGAAGGAGCACUAAAGAAGGGAUUAUUCCAACAGGAUUAUAGCUAGUAUCUUGGAUUUUAAUUUCGUUUGUAGUUGCUGAUAUAGUCUGUUCAUUUUUCCUAUUUCCUCCCUUCUAAUCUAACAAUUUUGUAACAGCAAGUUGAGAAUUUUGAAGAAUGGACUAGAACAAUAUGAAACAGCCCCUCUCUGACAUAGUCUAUAUCCCUAUUUUCUCCUUUUUGCCUUCAAGGAGAUGUGAUGGGGACAUCCACACGUAUCAACGACCUAGACGCAAGACCCAGCCACUCUUGCAUUCUAUUUGGCUGGAAGAUAGUCUCACAGAAGGAAACUAGAAGAAAGAAGAAGGAAGAAAAGAGAAAGAAGGCUGCUGGUCGACCUCUACCAUGAGAAUGAGGAAAGAGACUAUCGAUGGUCUCUUUCUCUCUCUCUCCUAUCGUCCAGAUCUUGUGGACCCCGCUGUUGAUUUGUUAUUUACUAGUUUUAUUUCCUAGUAUCUUGUUUAUUUAUGUCUUUGAAUUAAGUAGGAAACUACUUUAUUUCCUAUUUGUUUUUGGAAACUUCUUUAUCAUCUAGGAUUAACCUUUUCUUUUUUAGUAAUUAUUUCACUAUUUAUGUGAGGCCAUUGACCAUGAUGGAAUGAACGAAAUUGUUGAAAGAAAAAAGGCAAAGCCAACUCCCCCCUCUCCCUCUCACGAUCUCCUUUCAUUCUCGGUCUCUCUCCCUUUCUCGCCAUCUCUCUCUCUGUCUCGAUUUUCUCUUCCUUUUCUUGCCUGCUCCCUCCAUCACGACUCUCUUUCUCUCUCUCUUUCAUCCCUUAUCUCUCGGUUAUUGUUGUUGGCUGCACCUGCUGUUCGUGGGCUGCUGAAAGUCCCAACACACACACACAAGCUCCAUCGGCAACAAUAAAGGACACUUCUCUGCAGGCUGGAUUUUCUUCAUCAAUUAAAGUGGACUGCAUCUCUUUAUUUUAGGAGGACCUUGGUCUCUUCUAUUCUCCUUAGAUUUGGAUAGCAAUAAGGUAGGUAAAUCCCCCCGCCAUUCCACCUCCAUUGACUCCUUAUUAUUUCCCCAUUAUUCCCCCCACUGAAAUCUGAAAUUAUUCUCUGUUUUCAUGCCAUUUAUAUUUUUCUGUUUUCCUUUAAAAAGACUCUGCUGCUUUACCUUACUAGCUGGCUGAUUUUGGAGAACUGUAUGGUCUGCUUAUUAUGCUUGGUGUCUUGACUGAUUUGUGUUAAACCUAACAUAUGCAUGCUGCCAUGUACCUUUUCCCUAUAUCCCCAUUUGACGCUUAAGUAGCUUAUGUGCUUUUCAUGUUUAAACUAUUAUUGAUUGCUGCUGCCCUGUUAAUUAUUCUAUUAUCUUGCAUACUAAAUCUGUACUUUUGCUGAGCAACUUUGAACCCAACCCAAUUCAAGACCUAUUGAGUAUUCCUUACUCUAGUGGAUUGACCCUUGUAGGAAACCUAGUUGUCUAGACACCCUCCCUACAUCAAGAUGUAUUCUCCAGAUUUGGGUAUAUGGGAACCAUUUUCGAGUCCUUUCUUGUGGCUGUAGUGGUCCUUGAAAGAAAGGCAGUUAAAGGAUUGGGCAGCAAUCCACCAUGAGAUUGGAGAUUUCAAAUCAUUGUGCAAAAACCCAGUGACAGCAAACCAUGUUUGCCAUGUGGCAAUGAAGCACGACCUUGGGACAAGUGUAAUUUCGACACUUAAUGUUUAGCACGUAAUCCUAUAGUACAUGGUAAGUUUCCCAGCUAGGCACCAUAAAUCUGUCUAUAGCUUAGGCUUAGGAAGUGAGAUUUCCAUGAGCCCAAGUGUACGGUGGUAGGACAUAAUUGCUAUCAUUGUCUCUGUUUUAUGCUUCUAAUCAUGUUUAUACUGACAUAAAAUAAAAUAAACCUUCUUCUUUUUUAUUCAUUUUUCUUAUUUCUCUUCUUUUCUAGGAACUCUUUGGAUUACAUCAGAGGACUCUUUUGCUUUCUGAAUGGUAUUUAAACAUAUACAGUUUAUACUAAAAAAAUAAUCCUCCUCUUUUUUUUUUACUCCUUUCUUACAAACUCUUUGGGGAUUACAUAGUGGGCUCUUUUCCUUUCUGAAAGGUAAAUAAACAUAAACAGUUUGUACUACAAAAAGAAUCAGUAUGAUUGAAUCUGUAUAAAAUUUUUGUCCCUGUAAGCCAUGAAAGCCAUUUGGUUUGCUAACUUCAUCCUUUUGUUCCACCCAUGGAGAGUCUUGAGAGAAGGAAAAUGCCAGCUGAAGAAACUAUUACAGCCCCUGCAAAACAGGCAAGAUCCAGCCCAGUAACCAAUGGGAGCAUCUGAGAAUGUACAGACCUGAUCAAGCUCAAUAAUAUAUGCAUAUGCAAAUCUACAAACAUGCAAGUAUAUAUAUACAUACUUUGUCUAGUAAAAUUUUGUGUCUUUUAUUUUUGGUCAUCUGAGUUGAAAUUGUCUACCUCUUCUUUGUAAUGUUUAUGUUUAGAUACCUGUUGGUGUGCUCAGCAGAACCUAUUGGCUAUUUCUACUCUGCACUGUCUCUCUAUUUUAUUUUCUUUUUCUUUGCUGCAUUUCUCCUAUGGAUGCCU